UGCGUAGGCGGUUUAUUAAGUCAGAUGUGAAAGCCCCGGGCUUAACCUGGGAACUGCAUUUAUACUGGUAGACUAGAGUAUGGUAGAGGGGGUAGAAUUCCUAGUGUAGCGGUGAAAUGCGUAGAUAUUAGGAGGAAUACCAGUGGCGAAGGCGGCCCCCUGGACCAAUACUGACGCUGAGGUACGAAAGCGUGGGUAGCGAACA
rnacentral:rRNA from 1 species